rnacentral:rRNA from 1 species
GAGGAUACACCUGUUCCCAUCCCGAACACAGUAGUUAAGCUCUUUAGCGCCGAUGGUAGUUGGGGGUUUCCCCCUGUGAGAGUAGGACGUUGCCAAGCC